CAGUAGCCACGGGAAUACGUAGGGUGCAAGCGUUAAUCGGAAUUACUGGGCGUAAAGCGUGCGCAGGCGGUUAUAUAAGACAGAUGUGAAAUCCCCGGGCUCAACCUGGGAACUGCAUUUGUGACUGUAUAGCUAGAGUACGGCAGAGGGGGAUGGAAUUCCGCGUGUAGCAGUGAAAUGCGUAGAUAUGCGGAGGAACACCGAUGGCGAAGGCAAUCCCCUGGGCCUGUACUGACGCUCAUGCACGAAAGCGUGGGUAGCAAACAGGAUUAGAUACCCGCGUAGUCCCUGUCUCUUAUAU
rnacentral:rRNA from 1 species